ACUGAAACAUCUAAGUACCUGGAGGAGAAGAAAACAAAAGUGAUUCCGUUAGUAGUGGCGAGCGAACGCGGAUUAGCCCAAACCAGUGUUGUUACGGCAAUACUGGGGUUGUAGGACUGCGACAUUGUAUGAUUCAUGAAUUAGAACUGUUUGGAAAGACAGACCAUAGAGGGUGAUAGUCCCGUAUAGGUAAGUGAAUUAAUACAUAGCAGUAUCCUGAGUAGCGCGGGACACGUGUAAUCCUGUGUGAAUUUGGCGGGACCAUCCGCUAAGGCUAAAUACUCCUGAGAGACCGAUAGUGAACCAGUACCGUGAGGGAAAGGUGAAAAGAACCUUGAAUAAAGGAGUGAAAUAGAACCUGAAACCAUACGCUUACAAGCGGUCGGAGCGCAUUUAUGUGUGACGGCGUGCCUUUUGCAUAAUGAGCCUACGAGUUACCGUUUCUAGCAAGGUUAAGCACUUAUGGUGCGGAUCCGUAGCGAAAGCGAGUCUGAAUAGGGCGCUAUAGUUAGUGGCGGUAGACGCGAAACCGUGUGAUCUACCCAUGGGCAGGGUGAAGCUGUGGUAACACACAGUGGAGGCCCGAACCCGUUGACGUUGAAAAGUCUUGGGAUGACCUGUGGGUAGGGGUGAAAGGCCAAUCAAACUCGGAAAUAGCUCGUACUCCCCGAAAUGCAUUUAGGUGCAGCGUAUUAUUAGUUUUAUAGAGGUAGAGCUACUGAUUGGAUGCGGGGGCUUCACCGCCUACCAAUUCCUGACAAACUCCGAAUGCUAU
rnacentral:rRNA from 1 species